rnacentral:RNase_P_RNA from 1 species
CGCCGAUGGCAGAUGAUCGCUGGUGAGCCAGAGUGGCUUGCUGGAGGAAAGUCCGAACACCAUACGGCGACAUGCCGCGUAAAAUACGCGGGUGCUGCAGUUGUAAAAUUGCGGCGACGGAAAGUGUCACAGAAAAGACACCGCCGGUUCUUUGGCAACAAAGGCACAGGUAAGGUUGAAAAGGCGAGGUAAGAGCUCACCGCUCGCGGAGCAAUUCGCGAGGCAGGAAAAACCCCAUGCGGUGCAAGACAAAACAGAGGGAGGGCAGCCGGCCCGUUGAUCCUCGGGUAUCGUCGCAUCACGAUGC